rnacentral:pre_miRNA from 1 species
AAUAGAUGAUGCCGUUGACUUUUUCUCACACGUUUGAUCAUUCGUCUUAUUCAAAAAAUUUACGUUAUUAUAAUUUAUUUUGUUAUGAGUUGUUUUAUCAUUCAUAAUACUUUAAGUGUGAUUUAUAUCUUAUACAUUUGCAUAAAAUUUUUGAAUAAGACGAAUGGUCAAACAUAUGAGAAAAGUCAACAGCAUCAUCUAUU